AGAUCUUUGUACAGCAUUUAAACAUCCACUUUAGAAAAUAGUUCCACAGUUUUAGGCUUUCAAAUUAAUACAAAAAAAUGAAAGGAAUAAUGUUGCUAACCGUUUGUUUUGUGUUAAAAUGCCUUAUAUGCAUGACAGAAGCAAAUUGGUACGGAAAAAGAGACGAUUCUCAACUUAUUAGUCGAAUAUUGUCUAACAGACAGCCGCUUACAAGAGAAGACGACAGCGAGGUUAUAUCAAAAUUGGAAAAUUUAUUAAAAGACUUGAAAGAAAAACGAAAUGUAUUUCCAGAGAAUAACGCCCUUUUCAAGAAAAGGAAAUGAAAUGAUUAAAGAAAACGCAGCCCGCCUUAAUGGAGCUCAUGUAUAUUGUUUGUACAUUUCCGAAAACUUUACAUUUUGUAAUUAACUUUCAUGCAAUGUAGUAAUAUAUAUGCUCAUUUUAAAUUAUUGUGGAAAUAUGUAUUUUUAGGGGGAAAAAACUCAAGUAUGGUUUUCUAAUUUCACAAUAUAAACAAAACUAAUGAGUUAAUCAAUUAACCUUUUUACUGAUCAUAUGGAUAUGGAAGAAAAAAAUAUGUAUGGAAGUAAAAAUCAUGUAAAGGUACGACAAUAAAAUGUUUCUUCAAUUAAUACGUUUUAGAAUUUCUCGAAUUACUUUUACACAAAAAUGUUUCGGCAUAUUUUGCAUCCAAAUGUCAUUUCAAUGUGCACGUACUUUUUUCCAAAGCAAGAACAGAUGCUUUGAUAAUAAAAAAUAUCAUAUUUC